rnacentral:rRNA from 1 species
UACGGAGGGUGCGAGCGUUGUCCGGAAUUAUUGGGCGUAAAGAGCUCGUAGGCGGUUUGUCGCGUCCACUGUGAAAACCCGAGGCUUAACCUCGGGCCUGCAGUCGAUACGGGCAGACUAGAGUUCGGUAGGGGAGACUGGAAUUCCUGGUGUAGCGGUGAAAUGCGCAGAUAUCAGGAGGAACACCGGUGGCGAAGGCGGGUCUCUGGGCCGAUACUGACGCUGAGGAGCGAAAGCGUGGGGAGCGAACAGG